GGGCCAACUGCUAGCUUUGAGGGUUGCUUGCUCUUUUAGCCGCCGUUGCAAGAAUUUACUUACGCGGUGACUGACUUCUUUCUUAGCUUUAUAAUUAUUUUAUUGAUGACCGCUUACGCCAAUUCGUCUUGUUCCAGGGAGUUUCCACACAAGCACGAAGAGAAGUUGGAAAAACGCGGGGAUUGAAACUCAAAUAGAAAAAGAUAACCAUGUCAGGGGCAGAAGAUGGAAGCCGCUGGAGAAGAUGAAGACUUGAAGAGGUAUUUCAAUAUACUCGAAUUGUCACUAGUAAAGGUGAUAUAUUCUCCACGGCCUGGACGCCACUGGUUAUUGCAAACGGAAGCGGGUUCUCCCAAAGUUUAACCGAAACGGACCUCCGCUUCGUUGACGAGUCCGUACAAGAAACCGUUGUAGGCUUCUCUCCCUAUAUAUCCCUCUACGGAGUACCGAGUAAUCUGUCCUAUGAUAAAAAAAAACACCAGGAGCUGAGCUGUCAUCGAUCGUUCUGGCAGCUGCCAGCAUGAUUCUCGCCCUCAAUAGCCCCUCGCUCCCAGAGCAUACCCGGGUAGGGUAGGGUACCAUCGUGCGCUCAGGAUCGUUCCCCUGAUGCUGGGCUCUGGUUGAGAGAAAAAAAAAAUUUUUUAAAAACAAACCCCAAUGA
rnacentral:sRNA from 1 species